AUUGAACGCUGGCGGCAGGCCUAACACAUGCAAGUCGAACGGUAACAGGAAACAGCUUGCUGUUUCGCUGACGAGUGGCGGACGGGUGAGUAAUGUAUCGGAACGUACCCAGUAGCGGGGGAUAACUACGCGAAAGCGUGGCUAAUACCGCAUACGCCCUACGGGGGGAAGGGGGGGAUCGCAAGACCUCUCACUAUUGGAGCGGCCGAUAUCGGAUUAGCUAGUUGGUGGGGUCAAGGCCCACCAAGGCGACGAUCCGUAGCUGGUUUGAGAGGAAGACCAGCCACGCUGGGACUGAGACACGGCCCAGACUCCUACGGGAGGCAGCAGUGGGGAAUUUUGGACAAGGGGGGCAACCCUGAUCCAGCCAUCCCGCGUGUGCGAUGAAGGCCUUCGGGUUGUAAAGCACUUUUGGCAGAGAAGAAACGACUCUGGAUAAUACCCGGGGUUAAUGACGGUAUCUGCAGAAUAAGCACCGGCUAACUACGUGCCAGCCGCCGCCGUAA
rnacentral:rRNA from 1 species